UCCCUCAUAGCUCAGUCAGUAGAGAAUCUGCCUACAGUGCAGGAGACCUGGGUUCAAUUCCUGGGUGGGGAA
rnacentral:tRNA from 1 species